rnacentral:rRNA from 1 species
GGCUAACGCUGGCGGCGUGUCUUAGCCAUGCAAGUCGAGCGGACUUAUGGGGUAACUUAUAAGUCAGCGGCGGACGGCGGAGUAACGCGUAGCUAACCUACCCUCUGGACGGGGAUAACCUACCGAAAGGUGGGCUAAUACCCGAUGUAGUCAUCCUGUAUAGGGGUGAUGAAAGGUGGGCUUCUGUUUACAAGCUCAUGCUGGAGGAGGGGGCUGCGGCCUAUCAGGUAGUUGGUAGGGUAAUAGCCUACCAAGCCGAUGACGGGUAGCCGGCCUGAGAGGGUGACCGGCCCGAGGGGCACUGAGAUACGGGUCCCACUCCUACGGGAGGCAGCAGGCUAGAAAUUUGGGCAAUGGGGGAAACCCUGACCCAGUGACGCCGCGUGCAGGAAGGAGCCCUUCGGGGUGUAAACUGCUGUCGUGUAGGGAGAAGGGUACUAAGGUGAACAAUCUUAGUACUUGACGGUACUACAGGAGGAAGCCCAGGCUAACCUCGUG